rnacentral:rRNA from 1 species
UACGUAGGCGGAAAAUUAAGUCAGUAGUGAAAUCCUGCAGCUUAACUGUAGAACUGUUAUUGAUACUGGUUUUCUUGAAUAUAGUUGAGGUAGGCGGAAUGUGUAAUGUAGCGAUGAAAUGCUUAGAUAUUACACAGAACACCGAUUGCGAAGGCAGCUUACUAAGCUAUGAUUGACGCUGAGGUACGAAAGCGUGGGGAGCGAACAGGAUUAGAUACCCUGGUAGUCC